rnacentral:lncRNA from 10 species
AUCUCAAACUCCUGGCCUCAAGUUAUCCAUUAGCCUCAGCCUCUGAAAAUGCUGGGAUUACAGGCGUGAGCCCGGCCUUUCUUCUUUUUCUUUUUUCUUUUGUUUGUUUUUUUAGAGACAGGGUCUCACUCUGUCACCCAGGUUGCAAUGUAGUGGCAUGAUCAUAGCUCACUGCAGCCCUGAACUCCUGUGCUCAAGUGAUCUUCCCACCUCAGCCUCCCAAGUAGCUGGGACUAUAGGUGUACAUCACCAUGCCUGGCUAAUUUUUUAAUUUUUUUUGCAGAUAUGGGGUCUUGCUAUGUUGCUGAGGCUGGUCUCCAAUUCCUGAUUUCAAGUGAGCCUCCUGCCUCUGCCUCCCAAAGUACUGUGAUGAGCUACUACGCCUGGUCAUUGUCCCUCUUUCUCAUGACUCUCUGGACAUCCCUGGGGUGGAGGGUGGGGCAGGCACACACAUCCCUCAACUUCCCAGUGGUUCCACGAUGACUAAGCCAGCCCUGUCCCUGAGGCUGGGAGUCUGGAGCUAGGAUCCACCCCCAUGGCCUCAUAUCCCAACCUUGAGCCUGGGUUUCUGGUCAGACUGGACGGGCUAGCUCGGUCUCCUUAACUCUCAGAGUUGCCUUGUCCAGGCCCAGCGGGUCCCACACAGCCAGGCACACCCCACCCCACAGGGCUCCUGGGAAAUUCUCUGCCCCACCCUCAGGCUGCCUCAGACAGACUGAGGUUACCUGUGAUUGUCCCAGAUAACCCGAGUGAGCCCAUCCUCUGCUCUGGGUGGCUCCCUCCCUGGCAGCUGACCUGUAAAUUUUGAAAAGAUGGGGACAAUGCUCAGCUAGGAGGGAUGCUCCUGCUGUCUUCCCUGCUGGCCUGGCCACUCCCCAGACUGGACAGGUCCCUUGGCAGCUCUUCCCAGCAACCCAGGCAGCCCCAAGCCCCCUCUUGCUUGGUGUUCCAGGCCAGUGAGAAUCUCACUUCUUCUCCAAAACUUUGUCUUCCAACUCCUGUUUUGUUGUGUUUUGUUUUUUUAUUGAAACAGGGUCUCAUUCUGUUACCCAGGCUGGAGCUCAUGGCAUGAUCAUAGCUCACUGCAGCCUCAAACUCCUAGGCUCAAGCAAUUCUUCCCACCUCACCCUCCUGAGUAGCAGGGACUACAGAUGUGGGCCACCAUGGUCAGCUAAUUUAAAAAGUUUUUUUCUUAGGCCAGGCAUGAGCCACUGCGCCUGGCCAGGAGCAUGUGUUUUCUCAUCUUGGGCCUGGAUCGAGUCCUUAUGGUGGAGGUGAUCUGCGGGUUCCAGAAUCUUGGGAAGGGAUUGGUGAGACCAUAGCAUGGCCCAUUGCACCGUCCCUCUACCUGGAGUGAGGGGUGCCAGCCUCCCAUUUCCUGGUGGGUGGGCUUGCUGGAUGGCAGCCUGAGGUGGGUGGAGUCAGGCUGCCUUGUUCUAUUUCCUGGUUCCCAGGGUUGGGUGGUGGCAAUGGUGGCCCCGGAGCCAGAGGGCUUGGGGUACCCUGAUCCUGCCUCCGGAUUUACUGGGUGGGUGCUAGGGUGUGUGCUCCAAGACCGAUGGCCCCUGUGGGCGUGGAGGAGAAACCAGAGACUCAAGCAGAUCUCCCUGCCUGCCUUCUGCCCUCAUGUCCCACUUCACCUUGGCUCUAGGCCAGGGGCUGCCAGAAUGGUGACUCAGAGCGACUGAGAAGAGGAGAGAAACAGAAUGGAGGUCCUUAUCAUCCUCCAAUCUCCGCCAUCCCAGCAUCCCCAUAAAGGUCAGGACCCUUGAGGCCACAUGUCAAGACCAUCCACACUGCCCUCUCCUGCUUCCUCCUCCUCUACCCGCCCUCUUUCAGUGGGAUUUUUUUUUCCGGGUACCACGCUAGGGCAGGAAGGCAGAAGUGAGCAUGGGGCGUGGAACGUCUCUGAGGUUGGAAUAUAUUUAGGCCAGGAGAAGAGUGUGUGUGUGGUGCUGGCCAGGCCCUGGCGCCGGCUCGGCGGGCUUGAGGAGUGAUGGUGGGGGGCCCUGAGCCAGUGUGGGGAUGCUCCUGCCUUCUCCCUUUUUUUUUUUUUUUUUUUUUGGUUUUGAGAUGUAGUCUCGCUCUGUUGCCCAGGCUGGAGUGCAGUGGUGCGGUCUUGGCUCACUGCAACCUCUGCCUCUUUGGUUCAAGUGAUUCUCUUGCCUCAGCCUCUGGAGUAGCUGAGAUUACAGGCAUCUGCCACCACGCCCGGCUAAUUUUUUCUAUUUUUAGUAGAGAUGAGGUUUCACCAUGUUGGCCAGGCUGGUCUCCAACUCCUGACCUCAUGAUCCGCCUGCCUCGGCCUCCCAAAGUGCUGCGAUUAUAGGUGUGAGCCACCGUGCCUGGCCACCUUCUCCCUUUUAAAGACAGCCUGUCAGCUUUGGGGAGGAGGAGUGGGAAUCACUAGGCCCCCACCAAGGCUGAGGCAGGCCCUGUGUGGGCCAGAUACAUUUAGCAUCUUCAAAACAAACCAGCAAGACUAACAUCAGGAUCACUUACAGCUGUAAACACAAGGCCCAGAGAGGUUAAGUGGCUUUCCCAAGGCUGUUCAGGAAAGAGGUGAUGAUGGAAGGGUUCUCUUGCUGGCCCGGCUGGCUGCCACCAUUCAUGCACGCAGUGUUCAUUCAUGCAACACCUUUGUGGGUACAGCCUAGCCUGUGCCAGCCCCCAACAACGUGCGGGAGAACAAGAAGCCAACUGGACCCAGGUCGGCAAACCGCAGCCCAUAGGUGGCAUUCGUCUGUUGUCUCUGCACGGCCCUUGGGCUAAGAAUGGUUUUUACAUUUUUAAGUGGUUGAAAACAAAAGAAUAAGAGUAUUCCAUGAUACAUAACAAUUAUAUGAAAUUGCAAUUCCAGCCUUCAUGAAUUCAGGGUACACAGGUUACACCCAUUUGAGUCCACAUUGUCUGUGGUUGCCUUUUCGUGACUGUGGCAGAGUGGAGCUGUUUUGACAGAGACCCUGCAAAGCUAAACAACUUUCCUAUUUGUCCCCUCCUCCCCUGUCCCCCUCACACUUUUUUUUGACAGAGUUUUGCUCUUGUUGCCCAGGCCGGAGUGCAACAGCGCAAUCUUGGGUCACUGCAACCUCCACCUCGUUGGUUCAAGCGAUUCUCCUGCCUCAGCCUCCUGAGUAGCUGAGAUUACAGGCGCCUGCAACUAUGCCCGGCUAAUUUUUAUAUUUUAAGUAGAGACAGGAUUUCACCAUGUUGGCCAGGCUGGACCGGAACUCUGACCUGAGGUAAUUCAGCCGCCUCGGCCUCCCAAAGUGCUAGGAUUACAGGCGUGAG